rnacentral:rRNA from 1 species
CAAGUCGGACGGGAUUUAGGAGCUUGCUUCUAAUGAGAGUGGCGCACGGGUGCGUAACACGUAUGUAACCUACCUUCACCAGGGGGAUAGCCUCUCGAAAGAGAGAUUAAGACCGCAUAACAUUAUUGAAUAGCAUUAUUUAAUAAUCAAAUAUUUAUAGGGUGAAGAUGGGCAUGCGGAACAUUAGCUAGUUGGUAAGGUAACGGCUUACCAAGGCUACGAUGUUUAGGGGAUCUGAGAGGAUGACCCCCCACACUGGUACUGAGACACGGACCAGACUCCUACGGGAGGCAGCAGUAAGGAAUAUUGGUCAAUGGGCGGAAGCCUGAACCAGCCAUGCCGCGUGCAGGAAGACGGCCCUACGGGUUGUAAACUGCUUUUAUACGGGAAUAAACCUCGAUACGUGUAUCGAGCUGAAUGUACUGUAAGAAUAAGGAUCGGCUAACUCCGUGCCAGCAGCCGCGGUAAUACGGAGGAUCCAAGCGUUAUCCGGAUUUAUUGGGUUUAAAGGGUGCGUAGGUGGCCUGUUAAGUCAGGGGUGAAAGACGGUAGCUCAACUAUCGCAGUGCCCUUGAUACUGAUGGGCUUGAAUGAACUAGAGGUAGGCGGAAUGUGACAAGUAGCGGUGAAAUGCAUAGAUAUGUCACAGAACACCAAUUGCGAAGGCAGCUUACUAUGGUUUGAUUGACACUGAGGCACGAAAGCGUGGGGAUCAAACAGGAUUAGAUACCCUGGUAGUCCACGCCCUAAACGAUGAAUACUCGAUGUUGGCGAUAUACGGUCAGCGUCUAAGCGAAAGCGUUAAGUAUUCCACCUGGGGAGUACGCCCGCAAGGGUGAAACUCAAAGGAAUUGACGGGGGCCCGCACAAGCGGAGGAGCAUGUGGUUUAAUUCGAUGAUACGCGAGGAA